rnacentral:rRNA from 1 species
GAUGAACGCUGGCGGCGUGCCUAAUACAUGCCAGUCGAGCGAACAGACGAGGAGCUUGCUCCUCUGACGUUAGCGGCGGACGGGUGAGUAACACGUGGAUAACCUACCUAUAAGACUGGGAUAACUUCGGGAAACCGGAGCUAAUACCGGAUAAUAUAUUGAACCGCAUGGUUCAAUAGUGAAAGACGGUUUUGCUGUCACUUAUAGAUGGAUCCGCGCCGCAUUAGCUAGUUGGUAAGGUAACGGCUUACCAAGGCAACGAUGCGUAGCCGACCUGAGAGGGUGAUCGGCCACACUGGAACUGAGACACGGUCCAGACUCCUACGGGAGGCAGCAGUAGGGAAUAUUGGGCAAUGGGCGAAAGCCUGACGGAGCAAUGCCGCGUGAGUGAUGAAGGUCUUCGGAUCGUAAAACUCUGUUAUUAGGGAAGAACAAAAGUGAAAGUAAAUAUUCAUGUCUUGACGGUACCUAAUGAGAAAGCCACGGCUAACUACGUG